CCACCCCCGGCGAGUCCUUCUCGCUCUUUACUCUCGCCGCUCCAUGGGGCCGGAGGACAGGGGCGAUGACACCCCGCAGAGCUGGUGUAAGUGGACCAGCCCAUUAUAACGCCGGCGAGAGGCGGAGCCAGGACGAAGAUCUGAAAGGGUGGUGGGUGGAGAAGCAAGGUAGCAAAGGUCCUUCCCCUUCCUAGGUAUUUCGAAUGAAGCCGCAGUUCGGCGCGACUUCGCAGAGCCGGGCCCGCCUCCCAGGUGUAAAAUGCAGAAUGACGUAUAGGUGGCAGAGCAGAACCUGUUACAUGCAGUGAUUUAUUUUAAUAGCGCCGUAUAUAGCAAAUAGUUGUAAUGUGACAGCUCAACAACCUGUUGGAAAAUGAUACACGGCUUCACGAGUUGUGAAUUCCUAAUGAUUUAUGUAGCCUAACAAAAUCGUUUCAGUCCUGGCCCCUCUUUCCUUCUGUCAUAACCACACCUGGUGCAGGGGGAAAAUGGGAACAAGUAAGCAAUGCUGUGGACUUUUGCUACGAGAGAAUUAGUCCAAAAGCCUUAAUCUUAGCUGAAAGUGUGUUAAUGUGCAUGGCUUGAUCUUUUUCAGAUGGUGUGUUUAUAACAUCUCUGUUGUAAAUGUCACUCUCCUGUCAC